CCUACGGGUGGCAGCAGUGAGGAAUAUUGGUCAAUGGACGAGAGCCUGAACCAGCCAAGUAGCGUGAAGGAUGACUGCCCUAUGGGUUGUAAACUUCUUUUAUAAAGGAAUAAAACGAGGCACGUGUGCCUGUUUGCAUGUACUUUAUGAAUAAGGAUCGGCUAACUCCGUGCCAGCAGCCGCGGUAAUACGGAGGAUACGAGCGUUGUCCGGAUUUAUUGGGUUUAAAGGGAGCGUAGAUGGGUUGGUAAGUCAGUUGUGAAAGUUUGCGGCUCAACCGUAAAAUUGCAAUUGAUACUGGAAGACUUGAGUGCAGAUGAGGUAGGUGGAAUUCGAGGUGUAGCGGUGAAAUGCUUAGAUAUAAGGAGGAACCCCAGUGGCGAAGGCGGCUUACUGAACUGUAACUGACAUUGACGCUCGAAAGUGUGGGUAUCAAACAGGAUUAGAUACCCUUGUAGUC
rnacentral:rRNA from 1 species